GGGAGGGAAUCGUCGAAGGUGGGACUGGCGAUUGGGACGAAGUCGUAACAAGGUAGCCGUACCGGAAGGUGCGGCUGGAUCACCUCCUUUCUAAGGAG
rnacentral:rRNA from 5 species